CCUCGCUCUCUCUCUCCUCUCUCCCUCCUCUCUCUCUCUCUCUCCUCCUCUCUCUCUCCUCUCUCCUCCCUCUCCUCUCUCUCUCCCUCGCUCUCUCUCUCCUCUCUCCUCCUCCUCUCUCCUCCUCCUCUCUCCUCUCUCUCUCCCUCUCUCUCGCUCUCUCUCCUCUCUCUCCUCACCUCUCUCUCCUCUCUCUCCCUCCCUCCAUAGAAAUGCUGGGCCGGGUUGAAGGCACAUGUUCAUAUCUCAGAAUCUCCCUGCCCUCUUUUCCACAGACGCCUGCUUCACAUGGUGAGGCAGGACAGAGGGAGAGAGGGAGGACAGAGAGGGAGAGGGGCAGGACAGAGAUGGAAAGAGGCAGGACAGAGAGGGAGGGAGGCAGGACAGAGAGGCAGGAUAGAGAGGAAGAGAGGCGGGAGAGAGGCAGGACAGAGAGGAGAGAGGGAGAGGAAGGACAGAGAGGGAGAGAGGCAGGACAGAGAGGGAGAGAGGCAGGACACAGAAGGAGGGAGGCAGGACAGGGAGAGAGAGAGGCAGGACGGGGAGAGAGAGAGAGAGGCAGAGAGGCAGGACAGAGAGGGAGAGAUGCAGGACAGAGAGGGAGAGGGGCAGGACAGAGAGGAAGAGAGACAGGACAGAGAGGGAAAGAGGCAGGACAGAGAGAGAGAGAGGCAGGACAGAGAGGGAGAGAGGGAGAGAGGCAGGACAGAGAGGGAGAGAGGCAGGACAGAGAGGGAGAGAGGCAGGACAGAGAGGGAGAGAGGCAGGACAGAGGGGGGAGAGAGGCAGGACAGAGGGGGGAGAGAGGCAGGAUAGAGGGGGGAGAGAGAGGACAGAGAGGGGAGAGGCAGGAUAGGGAGAGAGAGAGAGGCAGGACAGAGAGGGAGAGAGGCAGGGAUAGAGAGGGGAGAGAGAGGACAGAGAGGGAGAGAGGCAGG
rnacentral:lncRNA from 1 species